UACGUAGGGGGCAAGCGUUGUCCGGAAUCAUUGGGCGUAAAGCGCACGUAGGCGGAUUGUUAAGUCAGGGGUGAAAUCCUCGGAGCUCAACUCCAGAACUGCCUUUGAUACUGGCGAUCUUGAGUCCGGGAGAGGUGAGUGGAACUGCGAGUGUAGAGGUGAAAUUCGUAGAUAUUCGCAAGAACACCAGUGGCGAAGGCGGCUCACUGGCCCGGUACUGACGCUGAGGUGCGAAAGCGUGGGGAGCAAACAGG
rnacentral:rRNA from 1 species